GAUACCAUGCCAGCCCCUCUCCUUGAACCUGUUAGUUGCUAAUAAGUCAGCAGUAAGUGGGAACAACAGUUGCUUUGGACCCAACGGAAGCCUUAUGUCCACAUGUCCACAAUGAGCAGACUAAGAACAAUGAGCAGUACCUGUGCCCCACAGCCUGGAUAGUUCUCUGGCUUGAAAUUUCUUUCACCUGAACCUUCAUCUGGCGAUGGACCCACACUGGAA